rnacentral:lncRNA from 1 species
UAAUUAAAAUAAACACACGUCUCGAAUUAAAAUUAAAAAUUAAACAAUUUUGUCAUCCGUCCAACACAUGAGAAAAAUUAGCCUAACAUACGAUUGGAAUUAAACACAUAAAAGUGGAAGGAGGUCACCGAAAAUCGACGGGAGGUGAUUAAAUUCCAAAAUUAUUCCCAGCCUUUGCACGUGUAUAUGUCAACUUCCAGUUAGCGAGUAAAUCUCCAAGUUGGCCUUCCUUUUAUGUUUAUAAUAUCCCCACAAUUGGCUCCAAUACAAAGCAAAUGUUUUGUCACACUUGCAGCCACCAAUUUAGUGCAUAAACUAAUCAAUUCAUCCCAAGCAGCCAGCUCCCACGUUUUCUGCUCUAAUUCUGCUUCUCUAAUUGAUGUAUAUAUUAAUUCCAGCCACAAUAUUUGACUGCCAAAACAAUGCCCAAAUGUUGCUCAAUUUCUUACUACAAGCAGCCGGUUUUGUUGACCAAUUUCCUUCCAAUUUUCCCCCAGCACCUUUGCCGUGUAUAUAUAAUUAUAUAAUUCACCAAUAGCAGCCUCCCUUUUCUAUUUCUCUCCCAGGCAGCUGUCCUUUUUUUUUUUUUGUAUAUAAAUUCUUCUUUUUGGCUUCUCUUAUUGACUCAAAAAGGGAUUAAUUUUCUCUUCAACUUGACUGCCGUUUUAUGAUCUAAUCCCAGGCAGCCGGCAGUCCCUUUUUUUUUUCUCCCUUCCAACCGUCUGUCUUCUUUAGGUUUUCUUCCUCCUCAUUUCUUUCG